AUUUAUGUUUUUCCAUAGAGCUGCUAAGAUGCUCAAAUGAGAUAUUUAUGAAAGUGCUUUGUAAACUGCACACUGUAAAAACAGGUUACCUGUUAUGUCUUAUCUUUGUAGAAAUAACAGCAAACAAGUACAAGAAAGAGAGAGAGAGAGACAGCAAGAAUUACAGCCUGUAUGGAAGACGACUCUAAAUAAUGAUGAUAAUAUUGGUGGAAUCAAAGCAUCUAGAAGACCAUGCAUUCCAUUUUAAAUCUAGUUGAGAUGGCAUAAUUCAUACCUCCUCAAAUUUGGACAAUUAUAAAUGACUCAACCAGCAGGUGCCAAAUUGCACCUAUACCCUGAGUAUACCUGAAGCAACCACUUAAACCCAAGCUAAUAGCCAGAUGUAUGCUCACUGAAUGGAUAACUUACCUAACCUUGAGAAGCUCCUUAAAGUACUCUCCUGAUCUUCUGGCAAAUAAUUCAGCAAACAUCUUUCGUUGCUUGAGAAUGCCCUGGGAGGCCUCCUCCUUAUCCUCAGUAAGCUUGUCAGUGUGUUUCUUCCAAGCACAUACAGCACUUUCCCAAAGAGAUCUAAUAAAAUAAAAACUUUCCUCUUCUC
rnacentral:lncRNA from 1 species